rnacentral:rRNA from 1 species
GGGGGACCUUCGGGCCUCUUGCCAUCGGAUGUGCCCAGAUGGGAUUAGCUAGUAGGUGGGGUAACGGCUCACCUAGGCGACGAUCCCUAGCUGGUCUGAGAGGAUGACCAGCCACACUGGAACUGAGACACGGUCCAGACUCCUACGGGAGGCAGCAGUGGGGAAUAUUGCACAAUGGGCGCAAGCCUGAUGCAGCCAUGCCGCGUGUAUGAAGAAGGCCUUCGGGUUGUAAAGUACUUUCAGCGGGGAGGAAGGGAGUAAAGUUAAUACCUUUGCUCAUUGACGUUACCCGCAGAAGAAGCACCGGCUAACUCCGUGCCAGCAGCCGCGGUAAUCCGGAGGGU